AUGGCGUCUCCGAGGGAGACAGUGGUGAGGCCGGCGAUGUCGCUGGGCAAGACGGGGACCGGGCGCCGGAGGCCGAGGUACCGCCUCGAGACGAGGGCUCUGUCCUACGUUCUUCCGGCCCGCGGCGUCGGAGUGUCGUCCUUCUUGCGGGGCGGCAAGGGCGAGCGGCUGCUGCUGAGGAGCGUCACAUGCGAGGCGGCCCCCGGGGAGGUGGUGGCGAUCGUGGGGCCGAGCGGGGCGGGCAAGACCACGCUGCUGUCGGUGCUGGCGGGGUCGGCGGACCCGGCCAGGGUGCUCACCGGGGCGGUGCUGGUGAACGGCUGCCCCAUGGACGCCGCACGCUUCCGCCGGGUGUCCGGCCACGUGCCGCAGGACGACGCGCUCUUCCCGAUGCUCACCGUCGAGGAGUCGCUGCUGUACAGCGCGCGCCUGCGGCUGCGCGCCGCGCCGGGCGCCGCGCAGGCGCGGGCCAGGGAGCUCAUGGCCGAGCUCGGGCUGCGCCACGUCGCGCACUCGAGGGUCGCCAGCGUGUCCGGGGGCGAGCGGAGGAGGGUGUCCAUCGGUGUUGACCUCGUGCACGAUCCGGCCGUGUUGCUGCUGGACGAGCCCACGUCCGGGCUCGACUCCGGCUCCGCGCUGCACAUUGUCAAGAUGCUCAGGGACAUGGCCACCGCGCACGGCAAGACCGUCGUGCUCACCAUCCAUCAGCCCGGCUUCCGCAUCCUCGAGCUGCUCGACCGCGUCGUCCUCCUCGCCGACGGCGCCGUCCGGCACCACGGCUCCCUGCCGUUCCUCGAGGCCCGCCUCGCCGGCUCCGGCCACUCCAUCCCCGCCCACGUCAACGUCCUCGAGUACGCCAUGGAGACCAUCGAUACCCUCAAGCCGGACGUCGUCAUCGCCACCGCGCUCACAUACCAAGAUGUUGCCGCGCCGGUGCCCUCGCCGUCCUCCUCGUCCGCGCGCCGCGCCGCGUACGCCAACUCGGCAGCGGCGGAGGUUUGCAUCCUGUCGGGGCGCUUCGUGAAGACGGUGCUGCGGACGCCGCAGCUGUUCGCGGCGCGAAUGGUGCAGUCGGCGGUGGUCGGCGUGUUCCUCGGCACAAUCUUCCUGGGCACCACCGACCUGCAGUCCCGGCUGGGCUUCUUCGCCUUCAACCUCACCUUCGUGCUCUCCUCCACCACCGAGGGCCUCCCGGUGUUCCUCCAGGAGCGCCGCAUCCUGGAAAGGGAGACCACCCGGGGCGCGUACCGCGUCUCCUCCUACGUCGCCUCCAACGCCGCCGUGUUCCUCCCUUUCCUCCUCGCCGCGGCGCUCCUCUACGCGACGCCCGUGUACUGGCUCGUCGGCCUGGCGCGCGAGCCAGCCAGCUUCGCCUACUUCGCGCUCGUCAUCUGGCUCGUCAUGCUCACCGCCAACUCAUUCACCGCCUGCCUCAGCGCGCUGGCGCCCAACUACAUCGUCGGCAACUCCCUCAUCGCCGGAUUCAUCGGCUGCUUCUUCCUCUUCUCCGGCUACUUCGUGGCGAGCAAGGACAUCCCGCAGUACUGGGUGUUCAUGCACUACAUCAGCCUGUUCAAGUACCCCUUCGAGGCCCUCAUCGUGAACGAGUACGGCGGCGCGCGCGGCGGCCAGGAGUGCCUCGCCUCGGCCCCCGGCGGCGGCAUGUGCGUCCUCGACGGCACCAUGCUGCUGCGGCAGCAGGGGAUGCGGGAGAGCAUGAGGUGGAGCAACCUGGGAGUCAUGCUCGGGUUCGUGGUCGGCUACAGGGUGCUCUGCUUCGUGUUCCUGUGGUACAGGUGCCACCGCAUGAGGAGGUGA
rnacentral:rRNA from 1 species